rnacentral:lncRNA from 1 species
UUAAGGACAAAAUAUGAAACACCAAGAAAAAGAGAAGGAAAAAAAGGAGGAAACAACCACAUAUGUCACCUUUCCAAGAGGGACUGAAACUGGGCUGACCCUUUUGAUUUCCAAGCUCAGCGUUUUGGUGUAAGGCGGCCAAAGAAGGAUGCGGAGCCCAGCACUGUGAAGCCUACAAAAACAUUGAUGCGCUGGCUUGGGGAUUUGAAUUUGAACAUCUUUCACACUAAGUUCAGACUCAUGAAACCAAUCUUCAGAUGCUCUGUAAACCACAUAAUAAAGAGUUUGGAAAUUAUAUUUUGUUUUUGAAGGCCCACGUGCAAAACUUGAGAGCCUCAAGUCCAAGCCAGUUGUGGCAAUUCUAGCCUACUUUUUUUUUAUAUUCAAGUGUGUUGUAGGGAAGGAGGAGAAUAAGUCUGCUUUCUUGAAUAUUAUGCCUAAUUAAUUACGUAUAA